AGAGUUUGAUCAUGGCUCAGAUUGAACGCUGGCGGCAGGCCUAACACAUGCAAGUCGAACGGUAACAGGAAGCAGCUUGCUGCUUCGCUGACGAGUGGCGGACGGGUGAGUAAUGUCUGGGAAACUGCCUGAUGGAGGGGGAUAACUACUGGAAACGGUAGCUAAUACCGCAUAAUGUCGCAAGACCAAAGAGGGGGACCUUCAGGCCUCUUGCCAUCGGAUGUGCCCAGAUGGGAUUAGCUUGUUGGUGGGGUAACGGCUCACCAAGGCGACGAUCCCUAGCUGGUCUGAGAGGAUGACCAGCCACACUGGAACUGAGACACGGUCCAGACUCCUACGGGAGGCAGCAGUGGGGAAUAUUGCACAAUGGGCGCAAGCCUGAUGCAGCCAUGCCGCGUGUAUGAAGAAGGCCUUCGGGUUGUAAAGUACUUUCAGCGGGGAGGAAGGGAGUAAAGUUAAUACCUUUGCUCAUUGACGUUACCCGCAGAAGAAGCACCGGCUAACUCCGUGCCAGCAGCCGCGGUAAUACGGAGGGUGCAAGCGUUAAUCGGAAUUACUGGGCGUAAAGCGCACGCAGGCGGUUUGUUAAGUCAGAUGUGAAAUCCCCGGGCUCAACCUGGGAACUGCAUCUGAUACUGGCAAGCUUGAGUCUCGUAGAGGGGGGUAGAAUUCCAGGUGUAGCGGUGAAAUGCGUAGAGAUCUGGAGGAAUACCGGUGGCGAAGGCGGCCCCCUGGACGAAGACUGACGCUCAGGUGCGAAAGCGUGGGGAGCAAACAGGAUUAGAUACCCUGGUAGUCCACGCCGUAAACGAUGUCGACUUGGAGGUUGUGCCCUUGAGGCGUGGCUUCCGGAGCUAACGCGUUAAGUCGACCGCCUGGGGAGUACGGCCGCAAGGUUAAAACUCAAAUGAAUUGACGGGGGCCCGCACAAGCGGUGGAGCAUGUGGUUUAAUUCGAUGCAACGCGAAGAACCUUACCUGGUCUUGACAUCCACGGAAGUUUUCAGAGAUGAGAAUGUGCCUUCGGGAACCGUGAGACAGGUGCUGCAUGGCUGUCGUCAGCUCGUGUUGUGAAAUGUUGGGUUAAGUCCCGCAACGAGCGCAACCCUUAUCCUUUGUUGCCAGCGGUCCGGCCGGGAACUCAAAGGAGACUGCCAGUGAUAAACUGGAGGAAGGUGGGGAUGACGUCAAGUCAUCAUGGCCCUUACGACCAGGGCUACACACGUGCUACAAUGGCGCAUACAAAGAGAAGCGACCUCGCGAGAGCAAGCGGACCUCAUAAAGUGCGUCGUAGUCCGGAUUGGAGUCUGCAACUCGACUCCAUGAAGUCGGAAUCGCUAGUAAUCGUGGAUCAGAAUGCCACGGUGAAUACGUUCCCGGGCCUUGUACACACCGCCCGUCACACCAUGGGAGUGGGUUGCAAAAGAAGUAGGUAGCUUAACCUUCGGGAGGGCGCUUACCACUUUGUGAUUCAUGACUGGGGUGAAGUCGUAACAAGGUAACCGUAGGGGAACCUGCGGUUGGAUCACCU
rnacentral:rRNA from 1 species